UACGAAGGGUGUAAGCGUUGCUCGGAAUUAUUGGGCGUAAAGAGCACGUAGGCGGGCCUGAAAGUCGAUUGUGAAAGCCCUGGGCUUAACCCGGGAAUUGCAGUCGAUACUGCAGGUCUUGAAUGCUCGAGAGGAUGGUGGAAUUCCUGGUGUAGAGGUGAAAUUCGUAGAUAUCAGGAGGAACACCGGUGGCGAAAGCGGCCAUCUGGCGAGACAUUGACGCUGAGGUGCGAAAGCGCGGGGAUCAAACAGG
rnacentral:rRNA from 1 species